CCGAGUGAGGGCCCUCUGGGUCCAACCUCCCACCCGUGUUUAAUCGUACCUUGUUGCUUCGGCGGGCCCGCCUCACGGCCGCCGGGGGGGUUUUCCCCUCUGGCCCGCGCCCGCCGAAGACACCAAUGAACGCUGUCUGAAGCUUGCAGUCUGAGCAGAUUUAGCAAAAUCGUUA
rnacentral:misc_RNA from 2 species